UACGUAGGGGCAAGCGUUGUCCGGAAUCAUUGGCGUAAAGAGCGUGUAGGCGGCUCGAUAAGUCCGCUCUGAAAGCCCGGGGCUCAACCCGGGAGGCGGCGGAUGACUGUCGAGCUAGAGUCCGGAAGAGGCGAGUGGAAUUCCUGGUGUAGCGGUGAAAUGCGCAGAUAUCAGGAGGAACACCAAUGGCGAAGGCAGCUCGCUGGGACGGUACUGACGCUGAGACGCGAAAGCGUGGGGAGCAAACAGG
rnacentral:rRNA from 1 species